GCGCAGCCGGCCCGGGGGCGGGGAGAGCGGCGGCGGCGGCGGCGGCGGCAGGGCCGCGGCCUGCCGGGCCCGAGGCGGGGCGGAGCGGAGCGGGGACCGUCGCCCCUUCCCCGCCGUGUCCCCGCAAGCCGCGCCGCGCCGGGCCGGCGGGAAGGAAGGGGCAGGAGGCGGCGCCGGCGAAGAGCGCCUGGAGAGGCGAAGGCCUUCAGCGGCCACCAGCCCCGGCGAGGGGCUGGGAGCGGCCGCUCUCGCCGAGUGCGGGGUCCCCCGCGGUGUCCCCCCGACAGCUUUGCAGCCAGCUGCCUGUAACCCACCCGUCCCCGAAGCGGGCACCCGAGCAACGAGCGGGAGCUCUUCGGCCGCUGCCGCCGGUCCCGCUCCCCGUGUAACUCCGGGCACGGCCAGCGCUUCCCUCCCGGGCGGCCUGGACGGUGCCGCGGAGCUCCCUUCUGCGGGACGGCGUUCGUCGUCGCCCAGUUAGCGUUUCGCGAGGGGUUCGGUCCCUGCGGCCGUGCCUUCGCCGCGUUCUGGCUGCUGUGACUCUUGCACUGCCGCGGCUGCCUGCCCGUAACGCGGCACGGUUCGCUCGCGCUCCCGUAAACCCGGGCAGUCGGAAAACGUUCCUGAGUUUCUGCGGUCUGUGGCCUUUAAACUUGGGAAUCUCGGGAAAAAAAUGUGGAAAAGGGAAAAGAACCUCGCCUGAAUUUGAGCAUCCCCACUUGGAUGCUGGGGUUCAUUUACUGUGAGGGAUGUUGCAAAUCACACGGUAAACAGGCUGCCACUGGCCUGUACGCUCCCGUUGUACGCUGUAGCUCUAGACGUAAAUCUUUAGGUGUGCUUUGUGAGGGCAAAAAGUACAGGAUUGCUUUCCAAGUAAUUUAUUACUUUAAGACCUUUGUUUGUACAUCGUUUUCAAAUUACUGGCUGUUAACUUGACAGAACUGGGUGAAUGGAUGUCGGGUUUUAAAACUGCCUGUAAUACUGGCACAGUUGAAUUUGGUGGUCAAACUUGAUGUGCCUUCAGACAAGGCAUUAGGAUUUCAGCCUGGGUUCAGUAAAAUCAAACCCAUGAUUCUGUAACAUUGUUACGCUUUCAAAAGGCAUUGGUCUGUGCAUCCUCAAAAGCCUUGAUUUUUAUAUGCUUACUUAAGAAAAGCAAAAAAACAAGACUGUUGUCUUCAGUAGAGCUGUUUACGUGCUUAACCAAUAAGCGUUUUCCUAAGGAUUUUCCCGUCCUAAGUGCUUCUGUUCUGGGCUUCAGUCCUGAUGGCAAUUCGCAGACCAGUCCGAAUACCUUCAUAAGAAACAUGGAUGAUUUGCUAGGAGGAUGAGUCAGUUAAUUAUUGACUAUGCAUAGGUGUUUCUUAGGUAAGCUUUAAUGAUUUACUUCCUCUUUGUUGUUUGGACUUUUCCACCUAUUUACCGUACUUGGGGAGCUGUGGGGUUAUUGGUACUCCCUGAAUCUGCCUGUCUGCCUGAACUAAAACGAUUGAAAUUUCUUGUGAAAUGAGGGUCAGUUAACUGUUCUAUAACACUGCCUUUCUUACAAAAAGGGAGCAAGUAUUUUGGGUAGAAUUUGUCUGCGUGUUACAUCUUGAGUUAAAGCAUCCCACCGUCGUUAUUAUCCCUGUAAUCAAAAGGAGGAAGAUGAGGAAAACUGUCAUAUGGCCAUAUUUGCCUGUUAACAAUGGUGAGACAAGUAAGAAGAAUUGAGAUUAAGAAUUGAGAUUAAUCACAUUUAAAACAAGCAUUAGAUUGUACGUGCAUACUAAUUCCCUGCAAACCUUACUGUUUUGUUUAACCACACUACUGUAAACAUUCAGUUUGCAUGGGGGGGGGGCAGGGAGGGAGUACUCUUACUUUGUGAAUGCCUGAUAAGUUAACCUACAUGAAAGAUGGAUGAUGUUUCCUUUAAUCAAAGCCAUAGCAGUAAAUUUUUCCGCCCCUCCUCACAGAGUAAUGCCAACUUCUGAAGUAAAAGUACCGAGGGAAUAGAUGAUUACUGCAUUUGAGUAAAAUUGACAACUUGUUGCCAUAUGAUUUUUUUGUUAAGGAAUGUGUAAAAAAAUUGUAAAAAUAUUUAAGAACAGUAGUGACAAAUAUUUUGGAAUAUAAACUACUACACAUCUCAGGAAGAAAUUUUUUAUGUAUUCUUUGUGUUGUAAUUUAUAUUUGCGUAAAAUGAUGGUUUCUUGAGAAAAAGCAAAUUAUUUUAUGAUGUUAAUUAUUUUUAUCAUAUUAGCUUGUACCUGCUGAUUAUCCAUCUUUUCUUAUUCCAGGUGUGUAGUGGCAUAACUGGGAGCAGGCUAGAGGCUUUCCAUAUUUGUAACAGCUUGAUAGCAACCCUGCCACCUCUAUUAAUUGUGACAUAACAUUUUUUUUAAAGCUCUUUCUUGCUGACGUUCCACCCUUUUCACUAAUCUCAAUUUGCUCAGUGCUCUGUUUUGUAGAUCAGGAAAGAAAGGACCAUAUGCUAUUCCCGUCAUAAGCAAAAAAUAUUAAUGUUCUUGAUUCUUAAAAUAAUUUUCUUGUUACAUUGUAGAAUCUUAGAUUUAUUAGUCUGCUGAGAUGCAUGAAAAAAAAUGUUACUGCAGCUCUUUAGUUGUCUGUUACGAUGGCUGGUGUUUAGCUUUCAGUCAUCCGCUGUCCUCUCCGUAGAUUAACAGCACCCUUCUUUAACUAUGUCAGACCAAAAUGGACACACAAUUGUAAUAGUACCCAACUCACGGUACUGGAAUGCAAAAUUAAUCUUGGAAUGCUGUAACAACGUAUUCUGGUGAAUUUUUUCAGCUUCCAAAAUUGAGACUAUGACUCUUUAGUAUCACAUAAUUUCUCUUUACACAUUGUGACGCUUUUUGAACCAAGCAAAGCAGUUGUGAAUUUGGUGAGACCUGCUGUAAUUCAGAAUCUUAGGAAAUUGGGUAUAGAACUACUUUAAUAAGCAACAUGUCUAUUAACUAAAAGGGUUUUUUUUAGGUUAAGUGCAGCUUCCAUCUUCUCUGAAGGCCAUUCUGUGUUUGAUACUUAAAUCUCAGUGCCUGAGUUUAAAAUUUGUUCUGUUCGCGUACUCCACCUUUUAUCAUUUACAUUUAUCAUACAUAUCUUUUCGACUACCAGCUUUGACACUCAGCUUGCUCAGCAUUGCCAGCCAAACACAGCAAGAUUGCUCGUGGGUUUGGAACUCAAUCAUACGAGUGGUUGCAGAAUUGGAAACUCUGCUGCAGCAGAAAGAUCUGCUGAGUAUGAGAACUGGGAACUACACACGUGCCUGAGUCUCAGGCGCACCUCUUAAACACAAGAUAAUCUUUCUCACUGUUUUGAUGUACACCUUUUGUAAAAGCAGAAGAUUUAUUAGUUGAGCUAAACCAGAGCAGUUAAACUACUUUUAAACUAGCCAGGAUCCUUUUAAGUGACACUGACUUGAUUGUGAAUGUGCCUUACUGUAGUUGCCUUGCAUUGCAAUAGAUAUUAUUGCACGUUUUCCUAAGCCUGAGUAAAAGUGCUUGCCUGUCUUUUGGUGUGUUUUGAAUGCCUCGGUUUCAAUUCAAGUAGCUUUUGAGUCAGAAAGUAGAGCAGUGUAUGUGGACAUCUCUGAGGGCACGUUUUUGACUAGCAAGCUAAAAAUGCUCGUUAGGUGUUAAGCUAACUUUGUAUUGUGCUGCAAUUAUUACGUCGUUGUUUGCUUUGUUAUUUAAUUACAUGUUAUUUCAUGAUGGGCAGUGGGUGAUUGAAAUAAUUCCCUGUAGCUUUAUGGCCCUAUUUACCAAGAAAAAUGCUCAUGAGACCUAUUGUGAUUCAUUAAAUUACCUCUUGGAACCAGUGUUCAUGUUCAUUCCAAAUGAUGCGCAUCAGUCAUUUUGAUUUGAUUAAACAUGGGAUAGCACUUGGCUGUAUUAAUUUCAGGUGUUUACAGCCCAUCCUGAUCGGUGCAGGCUUUGAAUAUGAGCACGGGGUUCUGUUGGCACAUUGUACAGAGGCAAAGCUGUCAGAUUUUACUGUGGCAAUGAUUUGGUUUCAUGCUGAUGAGAAGAAUCAUGGCUUUUCCUCUUGAGUUCGCUUUAUGAACACUCCUUUUGUAUGAUUUUGUAACUUAUACAAACCUAUACAUAGUAACACUACUAAAUAAACUUCAGGAUAGGAAAUAUCA